CCCAUCUGUCCAGUGUCAGGUAUCUUGUGUUUGCUCAUUCCUCUUCACCAGUAGGGACUUCUUCCUUCGCCACUGGGGAGCAAAGGAGGUGAUUAAAACAGAAGGAAAUAAAAAAUGAAGGAGCAAUGAAAUUCCAUGUUCAUCAAAAAACCUGCAUAUGAAUGCCAAUAUAGCAGCUGUACUUGUGAUAACCUAAAACUGGAAACAGCCAAGAUUUCCUUCAAAAGAGGAAUGGUUAAACAAUGAGAGGACUUAGGAAAGCUGCCCAGUGCAGAUGGAGAUCUGAGAGACCCCAGAAUGCUCUGCCCUGCGAUUAUUCAUCCUGGAUAUAACUACAAACUCACUGAGCUCAAUCAAGGAUUGCAAAACAUCCUGUUCCCAGAGGAAUGAGGACUCAUUCCAGAUGGUUCUGGACACUUUAUCCUUUUCUAAGGAUGUUGCAUUCUUGGAACAUUCUGUGGUUUCUACCAACAACUGCAAGAAAAGGGAAAAAGCCAGAAGUGGCCAAGGCCAUCUGGGGACCUAUUCUCCUACACAGAGUGAACAGUGGUCAGAGACUUGAUUUAUCAUCAAGAGCCUAUAAAAAGGCUCAAGGCCCAUCUGAGUUUGCUCUGGCUUCUGUGAGAAUAUACUAUUUACGAAAUGAUUUAAACAAUAGAUAUUUAUUUCUCACAGUUCUUGAGUUUGGAAGACAUGUGAAUUUUGAGGGGUGCACAGUUCAGUCCAUAGCAAGGUUUAUGCCAGAUUGCCUCUUCUAACACUGAGAGAUUGAAUAAUAUAAUAACUGAAAAGUAUAACCCUGGAUUUAGCAACUAUGAGGCUAGCAGUAAAUUUGGAAUUAAGUUUUCAGUGGUGUGUUGUAGGCAGAAGUCAGAUUAGAAGGGAGUGAGAUGUAAGUAGGAAGUUGAGAAAGUAUAGACAAAACACAGCUUAGAAAAUAACUUCACCUGCAAUGAGUUCAUUAGUGUUAAUGUGUUCAUGGUGUUAAUUGCACAUAUUUUUCCUAUUUUCUAAGAUUAUUUCAAAGUUAUGAAGAAUCUGACUUUGACUUAUUGUCAUAAUUCUAAAAGCUUUGAUGUGAAUAUUAUUUACAUUAAAUGAAGCUUACUACAUUUUGCAGUACAACCCUAAACUAGAUAGAUAGAUAGAUAGAUAGAUAGAUAGAUAGCUAAAAAGGUAAAUAUAAACAUACACGUGUAUACAUAGUUCUUUGUUAUUGAUGUUGUUUCGUUUGAUAAACAUAGUAUCAUUUUCUAAUGACUACUUGCUUAUUAAGGCCAUUUAAUUAGGACAGCAGGACAACUAUCACUUAUUGAAUGUCUCCUCUAUGCUACAAUUAACAUGUUUAUCUCUUUCAAUCCUCAUAGCAAUCUUGUGAUAUGGAUGCUUUUAAAUUACCAUUUUAUAUACCCAUUAUUAUGUGGGUGAACCUUACUUUAAAGCCCACUCUUCUGAUUCCUAGUCUAAUGUUCUUUUCCCUACAGUAUACUGUCUUAGAGGAAUAGUUAUGGCUUAUAUACUUUAGCACUAAGGAAAUCAAGAAAUUUAGUAUUCAGAAAGGAAGAGGUGGAGGAAAAAUGAGAUCAAAGACCACUGUAAUGGUAUUCUCAGAUGCCUGUCACUUUAAUCAUUGAGAAAAAGAGGAAAAUACGUAGAUAUAGUAUUUUUACUUUUUAUACAAAAUAACAUGCAUAACUUUAGUGACAAACUUUCUAGAACUCAAAUUUGAGAUUCAAGCAAAAUGUGUCACAAAACUCUUUACUAAUGAAGAUACUGUUAACUUCUCAGCAUACAAAGGUUAUAUGUGACACUUUUUAAUGAUGAAAACCUCUGAAUUUGAAAUAGCUGUUCCUCAAUUUAAUUAAAAGGAAUCUUUCCUAGACCUUUGAAGGAACAGUCAGCAAAAUCAUUAGCCAGUACAUUAGCAGGAUGAAAGAUAUUUUUUUUCAUUAGACGUAAGAAACAUUAGAGUUUGUAACAUUGCUAAGACAACUGUACCAUUUUAAAAAGAGAAUCAUGGAGCAAUGCUGUUAAUAUUAUUUCCAGAGUCUAUAUCAGGAGAUAUAAUUGAGAGGAUUAACUUCCCUCAUACAUUGCUGCUCUUUUACAGUGGUUAUCUCAUAUACUGAGAUAACAUAACUUCUCAUACAUUGAGACAGUGAAAACUAUCAGAAAAUUGAAAACACAGUGGUGCAGAGUACUCACUUGCAGUCAGACUCAACAGUGUUGAAAGUACAGAUCUUUCACUUAAAAGAUAUAUAUCAUUUGAAACAUUGCUUAACCCCUCUAAAUGUCAAUUCCUCACUUUUGCAAUGUAUAUGAUAAAUAUUAACAUAUUUUGUUAGGAUAAUGACAGUGUCAUUAUCAUUAGCAAGUUGUAUGUAUAAUAAAGGCCCUUUUAAAAUAAUUGUUAGGAGUGAUUUAAAUGUUUUCUAGUAAUGUAGAUUAGAGAGUUCAGAAACUCACUAGAAAUCAGUCUCUAGACCAUGCUUGACUCCUCCUGAGAGAUAGAUUUUUUAAAAAGCCCCCAAAUAAAGAAAAUAUUAAGUAUGAUACAGCAAGUUAUGUAUCGAUAGAUGAUACUCAACUUCUUUUGGCAUGGCAUCAGAAAGGAAUCAAGGUGUGCUUAAGAGCAAUGGAAUUCUUUUAGAAGUCUCUAUUUUUAAAAAGGUAGGUCAGCACAAAUGACUUUUUUAUAACUUGAGUAAUGAUUUUUCUUAUUCUCUGUUCUGUACCAUCUGAAGGAAAUUAGGACCAUGCCUUGUCUACUUGUUGUUAAAUUAGACAUAUGAAGAAAACAAAAUUUGGGGCUCUUUUAGAAUAUAAUUUUCUUUUCUUUCUCUAAACUUUUGAAAACUAGAGUCUUGAUAAUAAAAAUAUUUUAUAAUUGAACACAAUUAAUAAAUAUCUCAAAUACAUUCAAAAACAGUCUGAUAUUUAUGACAUAGUAUCUCUCCUGAACUAUUCCUAGACUGAGGGGGUCAUUCUGGAUUAAUAUGAACUCCUUAAAUCCUCAAGACAAAACUGGGUUGGAAUGAUGGAUUCUCCAUUUAUUAGAUUGGUAUAGUCUUGCCACAGUAUUUUGCUGCCUAGGAAAAAUGCAUACUGAUCUCUAUACUACUGGUUAGAAAGGUCUGCUAGGUAGCUAGAUGUGCCGCUAGUAAAAUCCUGUAAUGAGCGAAUGUAUGGAAAAGAACAUAUUGUCAGAUACAUUUUUGACUUAAUGAUUUAGAUUGGCCCUUUUAUCCCUCUUCAUGUUGUAUUAGCAUACUAAAGAAGUAAUAUUGUAUGAUUCUUUACAUAAUUUUCUACCUUAGUCUACCUUGAAGGACUAAUGUCCAGCUAAUCAAUGAACAAAGAAACACCAGGCUUCCAGGUUGAUAUGGUUUGGCUCUAUGUCCCCACCCAAAUCUCAUGUUGAAUUGUAAUCCUCAGUGUUGAAGGAGGGACCUGGCUGAAGGUGAUUGGAUCAUGCUGGUGGAUUUCCCCAUUACUGUUCUCAUUAGAGCGAAUGAGCUCUCACGAGAUCUGGUUGUUUAAAUGUGUGUAACACCUCCCCCUUCACUCUCUCUCCUGCUCUGGCCAUGUGAAUACUGUGCUUGCCUCCCCUUCACCUUCUGCCAUGAUUGUAAGUUUCCUGAGGCCAUCCAAGCCAUGUGUCCUGAACAGCCUGUGGAACUUUGAGCCAAUGAAACCUCUUUUCUUCAUAUACUACUCAGUCUCAGGUAGUUCUUUAUAGUAAUGCGAGACUGGACCAAUACACAGGUUAAAUUGCUGACAGGGCAUAUGGAAAUGUUCUCCUCUAUCACUUAAAGAUAAAUGAAAACAAGAGAAGGAAGCAACUCCCAAAUAGUAAGGAGAAUGUGAGGAAAGUGAACAGCAAAAUUGAGAUGUUGCGUUACCAGUAACAACAAUAAAGAAUAGCCACAGGCUCAGAAGAGACUUGAAUCAGAAAUUAGAGGUGAUCUUUCUGCAGAGAUCUGAAGGGACUACAAAUUAGGAAUCAGUGAGAAGAGAUGGUAGGUUAAAAGUAUGGGACAGAAAUGUGUAGCAAUUCCUCUCUAGGGAAUGUCUAUAGAUUAGCUUUACCGCCUGACAUCACUGUUCACCCAUGCAUGGUAUUUACUUCCAGGCAAAAUCAUUUGCACUGUUUGACCUUUACAAUUGCAAAAUAUGCCUGGAGACAUCAGAGAUGUCUCAUGGGUAUUGAUACCCCACAAAGUUCCUCUCCAUAUUGUUGCACAGAGGUUAGGGAGGGGCAAUUAUUAGCCAUUGAUUUAUUCAUUCUUUCUACAAAUAUUUGUGCAGGUAGUCUUCUAGAUUUUGAGAAUAUAGAAGUUAAUCAAACAAUCAAAACCCUCUGGCAUCAUGAGUGUGUAUUCUGCAGGAGGAAGGGAAAGAAAGCCAAUAAAUGCAUAAAUAGAUAUAUUGUAUAUAUUGUAUGUAUGGAUAUGUGGUAUGGAGGAUAUGAAACAGGCAAG
rnacentral:lncRNA from 10 species